CACUCCUUUAUUUAACAGUAAUCCUCUUGUUUACCGGGUCAGUAAUUUUCUGCAGUUCAGAAGAUGCAAUAAAAUCUCAUUUCCAUACUUUAUUAUGUUGGUACAGAAAUAUAUUCACUGAUGAUUAAUAAUGUUAUAUAAAAUGAUAAUCUACAAUAUUGGUUUAAUUGAAAAAGUGCCAAAACUGCAUAAUUAAUUGUAAAUAUUAGAGAACUGCUGGAAGCUUGUAAAAAAAAACAAAACAAACAAGAUGAAUUAUAUAUUUGUACCAAUAAUACACACAGAGGAGUUGUUUUAUUUUUGUUUUCUGAUUCAUG